rnacentral:rRNA from 1 species
UACAGAGGUCCCAAGCGUUAGGCGGAAUCACUGGCUUAAAGGGUGUGUAGGUGGCGCCGUAAGUCGGGUGUGAAAUUUCGGAGCUUAACUCCGAAACUGCAUUCGAUACUGCGGUGCUUGAGGACUGGAGAGGAGACUGGAAUUCAUGGUGUAGCAGUGAAAUGCGUAGAGAUCAUGAGGAAGACCAGUGGCGAAGGCGGGUCUCUGGACAGUUCCUGACACUGAGACACGAAGGCCAGGGGAGCAAACGGG